UGGCACUGCACAAUCUUAACUUACUCAUGUCAGUGGUGCUGGGACUACUGCUCGUGCAGGUCCCUGCCCACAACUGCUGUUCACUCUGAACCACAUGGAUCUAGAGGUUAAUAUCCACAUGUCUACAGCAUGAUCAGCUUCCUAUCAGCCCACUGUAUGAGCGUGGAACACAGAAUAUCUUGAACUGGAUGAAAAGAUGCUAACAUUUAAAAUGCUACUACAAACUAAAUGCAGAGAGAAUGUAGUCCUACCGUGCAACGGCAUCCCAGAUAUGCAUGGAAGUUACAGUUCUUGUGGAAGAUUUCACUUUAGCAUCAGCAACACUGGAACAUUCUGUGGCACCACUAACAUACUAUAUAUGUAAACAACAGUGAUAAUCUACAUAUAGUGAAAUGAAAAAAUGUGUGAAGUAGUUCUCUGCUCCCACAUUUGCAACGAGAAAAUUUUGGCAAUAGUUAUUCAGCACUGAAGCAGUUUGGAAUCAUUCUGUAUUUCGUAUGGAAACCUGGCAUGUAACAAAUUAUAUAAUAACAUAAAUUUGGAUUUUUUUCUUGAUGUAGUAGGUACUCAUUUAACACAACUUCAUCAAAAAGAAUCAGAUGCAGAAUACCAUCAUUGUAUCAAAUCAGAUCAACAUUUUCAAUCUUUGCUUAAGGAUGACUUCUCUUCAGUAGCUCUCAGUACUUUUGUUCUUUUACUGAAAAAAAAAAAAUAGUAUAUUAAGCCUUUAUUAAUACAUUGCUGAAACAUAUUCUAUGUCACCAGUGCAACCUUUGAAAAAUACAGAUCUGGCUUUGAGACUCUUACCAGCAUCCAAUUCCCAAUGCACAAAAUAAGCUAAGAAACGAUUUUCCUAUACAUAUGUGCCCAUAUGUGCACAUACACUACUGUUCUAUGGCUGUAUUCAUGAUUGAUGGCUCAAAAUGACUCUUAGCAAGUUUGCAGACAAUUUUAAACCUGAGAGCACAAUCGACAUGCAGGACUGUCUCUCAAGGGGACCUAGCCGAGAUGGAGAUAUGAGCUGACAGGGACAACUUCAGGGUCAACAAAGGCAAUAGCAGCUCCUGCACCUGAGAGGGAAGAAAACCAUGCAAGAGUGGGCUGAGCCCAGAAAGAAAGCGGAUUUGCAGAAAAGGGCAUAGGUAUCUUUGUGUACAACAAGCUGGUGAGAAGCUAGGAAAGACCACCAAUGGGCUUUGUAAGGUGUGUUAGCAGGACCGUGGCCUGCAGAACAAGGGAAGCAACCCUUCUCCUACGUUCAGCACUUGUGAAACCACACCUGUGCCCAGUUUAAGGCUUCACACUACAGGAGAGACAUCCACAUAGAAGAACAAGAACAGCAGAGGCACUGAAGAUGGCUACAAUGACAAGACAAGAGAAAAUGGAUAUCCUGGAAUACAAGAAAUUCCCACCAGAUAUAAGGAAAAUGAAUUUCAGCAGACAGAUGGUCAAACACUAGAAAAGAGUAUCUAGGGUACCUGUCCUUGGAGCUAUUCCAAACUCAGCUGGACACAAGCCUCAGCAACCUGAUCUACUUGCACAGCACAGGGGGUGGGAUGGGAGAUUUGGGAUGUUCCUUCCAGCUUACAUGACUGCAUGAAUCCAUGAAAUGUUUCACCCAUGGAACUUAACAAGUAAAAAGAAGAAUGAAUAAUCAAGUGUAAAUAAAUCCUUAAAAUGAACACA
rnacentral:lncRNA from 1 species